rnacentral:rRNA from 1 species
UAGGGAAUCUUCGGCAAUGGACGAAAGUCUGACCGAGCAACGCCACGUGAGUGAAGAAGGUUUUCGGAUCGUAAAACUCUGUUGUUAGAGAAGAACAAGGACGUUAGUAACUGAACGUCCCCUGACGGUAUCUAACCAGAAAGCCACGGCUAACUACGUGCCAGCAGCCGCGGUAAUACGUAGGUGGCAAGCGUUGUCCGGAUUUAUUGGGCGUAAAGCGAGCGCAGGCGGUUUCUUAAGUCUGAUGUGAAAGCCCCCGGCUCAACCGGGGAGGGUCAUUGGAAACUGGGGGACUUGAGUGCAGAAGAGGAGAGUGGAAUUCCAUGUGUAGCGGUGAAAUGCGUAGAUAUAUGGAGGAACACCAGUGGCGAAGGCGGCUCUCUGGUCUGUAACUGACGCUGAGGCUCGAAAGCGUGGGGAGCAAACAGG